rnacentral:rRNA from 1 species
UACGUAGGGGGCUAGCGUUGUCCGGAUUUAUUGGGCGUAAAGAGCGUGUAGGCGGCCAGAUAGGUCUGCUGUGAAAACUCGAGGCUCAACCUCGAGACGUCGGCGGAAACCAUCUGGCUAGAGUCCGGAAGAGGAGAGUGGAAUUCCUGGUGUAGCGGUGAAAUGCGCAGAUAUCAGGAAGAACACCCGUGGCGAAGGCGGCUCUCUGGGACGGUACUGACGCUGAGACGCGAAAGCGUGGGAGCGAACAGG